rnacentral:rRNA from 1 species
CCUACGGGUGGCAGCAGUGGGGAAUAUUGCACAAUGGGGGAAACCCUGAUGCAGCGACGCCGCGUGAGUGAAGCAGUACUUCGUUACGUAAAGCUCUAUCAGCAGGGAAGAAAUACUGACCUUACGGUCAGCAGACGGUACCUGAGUAAGAAGCCCCGGCCAACUACGUGCCAGCAGCCGCGGGAAUACGUAGGGGGCAAGCGUUAUCCGGAUUUACUGGGUGGAAAGGGAGCGAAGACGGUGCGCCAAGUCUGUAGUGAAAUGCCGCAGCUUAACUCCGGAACUGCUGUGGAAACUGGCGAACUGGAGGGCGGGAGGGGUAAGCGGAAUUCCUGGUGUAGCUGUGAAAUGCGUAGAUAUUAGGAGGAAAACCGGUGGCGAAGGCGGCUUACUGGACCGUAACUGACGUUGAGGCUCGAAAGCGUGGGGAGCAAACAGGAUUAGAUACCCCAGUAGUC